rnacentral:rRNA from 1 species
AUGGAUCUUCUCCAAUUUGUGCUCAACUUUAAAGACACACCACCAUGGCUGAACUCGACGGCCAUUACCGCCCUUACGGACCGUUGGAGGCCGGAGACGCACUCUUUUCACCUUGCUCUUGGUGAGAUGACCGUCACUUUGGAGGAGAUUGCGAUGAUCUCCGGUCUUUCGAUCGAGGGCAGGGCUCUUACCGGGAAGGUGAAGUCCGAGGGGUGGCGACAAAGGGUUGCAGGUUUGGUAGGUGUUGAACCUCCCCCGUGGAUUCAUGAAACAAAGAAGGAUCCUAGGCCAUCUGGUGUUUUGUUCUCGUGGCUACAACAACAUUUUUAUGAGUGCCCAGAGAAUGCCAGUCCGGCUGUUGUGGAGAGGUACGCCAGGGCUUACUUAUGGAAUCUUUUG